GUUUUGUGCCACUGAAAAACAGCGCAGGAGAGCUGUCCUUACAAGAGAGAUGCUGGAGAUAUUUCUGGUGCAUUGAUUUGGAAAUCAUCAAGUAGAAUCCUAAAUGCCAAGGCCUGAAAACCUGUCUCCACUGUUCUUUCCUUCCCUUUUAAGGCUGGCAGAACUGCAAGCUGGGAUAACACCAAGGUUGCAAUUGAUAGAAGAAUCAAAUUUCCUUGGAGAAGACAAAAUGUAUAUGAAGUGCCUCCUGCAGAGCCAGGGAUGUCAUAGGUGCUCAGUAAAUAUUCUUCUAUGUGGGAUACCGCCAUAGCAUGGUUUGGUGAGUGGUGUGUAGGUCUGCGUCCAGGAUCCAAACUGGCAAACCCUGGGCUGCCGAAGUGGAGAACAUGAACUUAACCAGCCAACGGGCCAUCCCUGUCCAUUUCUCAAAUCAGUUGGAAUCAGUAAGAAUGGAAGAAUGAUUGAAAGAUUUCUCCUGCACCUCCCUCACCCCCAAUAAUGCCAACACAUUUGAACUGUGAUUGUGGGCAAUUCAGAGACAUGGAUAAAUUUUUAAAAGGUGCCCAAUCUGGUGAGAUUUGCCAAGCCUACACAAGAGUAAUGAGAGACAUCAUAAGACAGUGUUAUUUGGGUUUGUGUAUUUGAAUAAUCAGGACAUUUCUAAGUGGAGAAGGAGUAGCAUUCUAGACAGAAAGGACCAAUGAGGAAGGGUGGAAAUGAUGGGUGUUUUCAAGUAAUGUGGUGGGAAUUAAUGUAGCAUUGCUGGAGAAUGAGUAUAUACGGGGAAGAAUUGGGAAAUAAAGCUUUGAAAAGUAGAUUUGCCUGGGGAAAGGUAUGGAAAACACAGAAAGCUAAGGGCUUUGAUGUCUUUGAGGUGGGUAAUGAGAAAUCACUGAAGGGUUCUAAAGAAAUAAUAACAAGAUUUGUCAGUAUCGAAUAGCCCUACCAUAUAAAAAAUUUUGCUGUGAUAUGUGUUUGAGUAUUUGUGUGUGUUUUUGGUUUGUUUGCAUUGUUGAUGUUAAGAAGAACCAGGUAAGGUUGAUAUUCACCUAAGUUUGAACUUAGGCCAAGCCAAAAUAUAUUUGUAUAUAUACCUGGGUAUGUAUUUGUGUGUG
rnacentral:lncRNA from 1 species